GGAUAACUUACCCUUAGGACUGGGAUAACUCUGGGAAACUGGGGAUAAUACUGGAUAUUAGGCUAUGCCUGGAAUGGUUUGCCUUUGAAAUGUUUUUUCGCCUAAGGAUAGGUCUGCGGCUGAUUAGGCCGUUGGUGGGGUAAUGGCCCACCAAGCCGAUGAUCGGUACGGGUUGUGAGAGCAAGGGCCCGGAGAUGGAACCUGAGACAAGGUUCCAGACCCUACGGGGUGCAGCAGGCGCGAAACCUCCGCAAUGUACGAAAGUGCGACGGGGGGAUCCCAAGUGUUAUGCUUUUUUGUAUGACUUUUCAUUAGUGUAAAAAGCUUUUAGAAUAAGAGCUGGGCAAGACCGGUGCCAGCCGCCGCGGUAACACCGGCAGCUCGAGUGGUAGCUGUUUUUAUUGGGCCUAAAGCGUUCGUAGCCGGUUUGAUAAGUCUUUGGUGAAAGCUUGUAGCUUAACUAUAAGAAUUGCUGGAGAUACUAUUAGACUUGAAGUCGGGAGAGGUUAGAGGUACUACCGGGGUAGGGGUGAAAUCCUAUAAUCCUGGGAGGACCACCUGUGGCGAAGGCGUCUAACUGGAACGAUCUUGACGGUGAGUAACGAAAGCCAGGGGCGCGAACCGGAUUAGAUACCCGGGUAGUCCUGGCCGUAAACGAUGUGGACUUGGUGUUGGAAUGGCUUUGAGUUGUUCCGGU
rnacentral:rRNA from 1 species